rnacentral:rRNA from 1 species
GACGAACGCUGGCGGCGUGCUUAACACAUGCAAGUCGAACGGAGUGGCGAACGGGUGAUUAACACGUGGGUGAUCUGCCUUGCACUUCGGGAUAAGCUUGGGAAACUGGGUCUAAUACCGGAUAGUGCAAGAGGAGCUCGCGGCCUAGAAGCUUGUUGGUGGGGUAAUGGCCUACCAAGGCGUAGGCGGGUAGCCGGCCUGAGAGGUUGUACGGCAACAUUGGGACUGGGAUACGGCCCAGAAGCCUACGGGAGGCAGCAGUGGGGAAUAUUGCACAAUGGGCGGAAGCCUGAUGCAGCGACGCGGUGUGGGGAAUGAAGGCCUUCUGGUUGUAAAAUCCUUUCGAGAGGGACGCGGUAACUGUAAAAGAAGCACCGGCUAACUACGUGCCAGCAGCCGCGGUAAUUC